GUCUAGGGCCAUGCCACCCUGAACAAGCCUGAUAUCUGAUCUCAGAAGCUAAGUAGGUUCGGGCCUGGUUACUACUUGGAUGGGAGACCACCUAGGAAGACCAGGUGCUGUAGGAA
rnacentral:rRNA from 1 species